GACCUGGUAGCUCAGUUGGUAGAGCAUCUCCCUUUUAAGGAGAGGGUCCUGGGUUCGAGACCCAGCCAGGUCACAA
rnacentral:tRNA from 1 species